CCCGGGCCUUGUACACACCGCCCGUCACACCAUGGGAGUUGGCUCUACCUGAAGACGGUGGGUUAACCCGGCAACGGGGGACAGCCGGCCACGGUAGGGUCAGCGACUGGGGUG
rnacentral:rRNA from 1 species